rnacentral:rRNA from 1 species
CAGUAGCCGCGGUAAUACGUAGGUGGCAAGCGUUGUCCGGAAUUACUGGGCGUAAAGCGCACGUAGGCGGCUUGGUAAGUUAGAGGUGAAAGCCCAGGGCUCAACCCUGGAAUUGCCUUUAAGACUGCCGAGCUAGUAGGUGAGAGAGGUGAGUGGAAUUCCGAGUGUAGAGGUGAAAUUCGUAGAUAUUCGGAAGAACACCAGUGGCGAAGGCGGCUCACUGGCUCAUUCUAGACGCUGAGGUGCGAAAGCGUGGGGAGCAAACAGGAUUAGAUACCCCCGUAGUCCCUGUCUCUUAUAA